rnacentral:rRNA from 1 species
GAUGAACGCUGGCGGCGUGCCUAAUACAUGCAAGUCGAGCGAACGGACGAGAAGCUUGCUUCUCUGAUGUUAGCGGCGGACGGGUGAAUAACACGUGGAUAACCUACCUAUAAGACUGGGAUAACUUCGGGAAACCGGAGCUAAUACCGGAUAAUAUUUUGAACCGCAUGGUUCAAAAGUGAAAGACGGUCUUGCUGUCACUUAUAGAUGGAUCCGCGCUGCAUUAGCUAGUUGGUAAGGUAACGGCUUACCAAGGCAACGAUGCAUAGCCGACCUGAGAGGGUGAUCGGCCACACUGGAACUGAGACACGGUCCAGACUCCUACGGGAGGCAGCAGUAGGGAAUCUUCCGCAAUGGGCGAAAGCCUGACGGAGCAACGCCGCGUGAGUGAUGAAGGUCUUCGGAUCGUAAAACUCUGUUAUUAGGGAAGAACAUAUGUGUAAGUAACUGUGCACAUCUUGACGGUACCUAAUCAGAAAGCCACGGCUAACUACGUG